rnacentral:rRNA from 1 species
GAUGAACGCUGGCGGCGUGCCUAAUACAUGCAAGUAGAACGCUGAAGCUUGGUGCUUGCACCGAGCGGAUGAGUUGCGAACGGGUGAGUAACGCGUAGGUAACCUGCCUCUUAGCGGGGGAUAACUAUUGGAAACGAUAGCUAAUACCGCAUAAAAGUCGAUAUCGCAUGAUAUUGAUUUGAAAGGUGCAAAUGCAUCACUAAGAGAUGGACCUGCGUUGUAUUAGCUAGUUGGUGAGGUAACGGCUCACCAAGGCGACGAUACAUAGCCGACCUGAGAGGGUGAUCGGCCACACUGGGACUGAGACACGGCCCAGACUCCUACGGGAGGCAGCAGUAGGGAAUCUUCGGCAAUGGGGGCAACCCUGACCGAGCAACGCCGCGUGAGUGAAGAAGGUUUUCGGAUCGUAAAGAUCUGUUGUAAGAGAAGAACGAGUGUGAGAGUGGAAAGUUCACACUGUGACGGUAACUUACCAGAAAGGGACGGCUAACUACGUG